rnacentral:rRNA from 1 species
AUCUACGGCCAUGCCACCCUGAAUGUACCCGAUCUCGUCUGAUCUUGGAAACUAAGCAGGGUCAGGCCUGGUUAGUAGUUGGAUAGGAGACCACCUAGGAAUACCAGGUGCUAUAGGCA